AUAACGACUCUCGGCAACGGAUAUCUCGGCUCUCGCAUCGAUGAAGAACGCAGCGAAAUGCGAUACCUGGUGCGAAUUGCAGAAUCCCGUGAAUCAUCGAGACUUUGAACGCAAGUUGCUCCCGACACCAUUAGGUCGAGGGCACUCCUGCCUGGCCG
rnacentral:rRNA from 1 species